rnacentral:lncRNA from 1 species
CCUUCAGCUUCAGUCUGCCAGUCAACACAACUACCGUUAUAAAUCAGCUCCAUCGAUAUCUACUGAAGUGUCAUACAAACGCAUAUACCAGAAUGCUGAAAAAGCUGCAAAUAUUUGAUGACAAAUGGAAUAAUGUGGUAUUUAAACACAUACCAAACCUCAGAACUAAACAGAACAUGCGCUUAAGGUAACAUUACUCUGAAACCCAAUCACUACGGCUAAUAAGUUAGCAUACCUUGCUAUCUGUUGAUGGUGGAGGUGAUUUGAGAGUGUUCGGGCCAGGACUUUUUAAACUGCUGGCUGGAGACAGUAGUGCACGCUUUGCAAUUUCAUCUUCUGCAUACAUCAAUGGAGAAGGGUUGAUAAACUCAGUACCCAUCUCAUUCCCAACUGCAUACAGAAUGAAGAAUCUGUUCUCAAACUAUUGCUCUCGAUGUGAACUAGGGUUUUAAGACAAGGACAACUUGCUUGUGCAUUUAACCCAUUGGAUAAUGGACACAACUAAUAAUGAUAAGUCGUAUCAAAAAUAAAUUCAUUGAUUUCCCCAACAAUAAAAUUCACUUGGCUCUUCAGAUUCUCAACUAACUAUUUCAUAAUUCCAUGGUGCAUGAUUUGUCAGAAUUCUGUGUAAGAAAGAGCAGCAGACCGACCUUCAUUUACAAGCCACCACAUGUCACCAAACGUUGUUUUGCCGUCAUAACCUCCUAUCAGCAAGAAUCGCGGACCUAUGCGAGUCAUAGUGUGGUACGCCCUCGCUGGAGGUGGUUC